ensembl:lncRNA
CUUGUCCUAGUUCAGUGUGAAAAGACUGCAUGCAGUUGUCGUUUUCAGCGUGUUUUCUCUGCAAACAGCUCCUGAACAAGCUUUCUACCCUGCACCGGGACGAGACGAUGGACCCACCUCAGAUGUUUCUUUAUAAACGAUCCCUCUAAUCUGCCGGAGAUCACAAUACUCCAGCGUAUUUACACUCGCAGCAGCACACAGUCUGUUCUCUCCUGCACAAAUAUACAGCACCUCGAUUAAGAAAUAAUACAAUUUAGAAAGAGCGGGGUGUUUUAUUCUCUCAUGUUGGGGAAAUAUGCUCUCUAAUCCUCCAGUAUAAGGACCAUCUGUGUAAAUGUGGCUCUGGUGGGACGGGACAGUCACGAUUCUGACAUAUGAAUCCAGUGAUACGGAUGGUUACUGCUGGCGUCAGGACAAUCCACAUGCAUUACAGAGGAUCCGCUUACUAAACAAGUAAUCAUGAGACAAAGCAUUAAAUAUAAGACAGUUCUUGCCGUUGAGGAAAAUGAUUUACCCAGCACUAAUUUCCAGUAAGUGUCCUUUGUCAGGAUAUUAUUACAUUCCUGUACUCAGUCGAGCAGAAAUAUGAGCAGCGGGUGAAAGAGCUUCUGGACGGACGCAGGAUGGAUUUUCACUGGAAGUGGAUUCUGGAAGUCCAUGACUGGGCUCUGAACUCGAGGUUCAUGUGUGAGUAGUAAGUGAUCUGAUCGACUGAUUGAUGGCAGUAAAUAUGAAGAUAAUGGUGCAUAUAAAUGGACUAGAAUGUGUUUGAUUUCUACUUUCCUACACACUUCGUUGACGCCCUACAAAGCUUGUGUCUUUACACCCAUAAUUUCUUCACCCA